AUUGAACGCUGGCGGCAUGCUUUACACAUGCAAGUCGAACGGUAACAGGCCUUCGGGUGCUGACGAGUGGCGAACGGGUGAGUAAUGCAUCGGAACGUACCCAGAGGUGGGGGAUAACGCAGCGAAAGCUGUGCUAAUACCGCAUGUGAUCUGAGGAUGAAAGCGGGGGACCGAGCAGCAAUGUUUGGCCUCGCGCCUUUGGAGCGGCCGAUGUCGGAUUAGCUAGUUGGUGGGGUAAAGGCCUACCAAGGCGACGAUCCGUAGCUGGUCUGAGAGGACGCCCAGCCACACUGGGACUGAGACACGGCCCAGACUCCUACGGGAGGCAGCAGUGGGGAAUUUUGGACAAUGGGCGCAAGCCUGAUCCAGCAAUGCCGCGUGCGGGAAGAAGGCCUUCGGGUUGUAAACCGCUUUUGGCAGGAACGAAACGGUGUCCGCUAAUACCGGGCGCUAAUGACGGUACCUGCAGAAUAAGCACCGGCUAACUACGUG
rnacentral:rRNA from 1 species